UACUUUUUUUUUUUUUUUUCACUUUUCUGUUUUUCAAAAAUAUUUCUUAAACUAUUCAUGCAAACCAUGGUUAUCUUUGUUCGAAACAUAUAUGCAGACAUAUUGUGGGUUUGACUUUGCCCAUUUUGAGUAUAGAAACAAAACAUAUUAUAAAUUAGUUUUAACACUUACUCAAUACACAAUUACAACGGCGACAUUAAAAUUGGACAACAAAAUAUACUUGAUAUCACUACAGAUUUAAAAAUAGAACAAUAAAAAUAAUUUUGAACUCAUUUUCCUCCCACUAUCUCAUUAACUGAAAUCAACAAAGAUGUUAUGGAGUAUUAAAGUGUAACAUCUCUCUCAAAAAAAAACAAAUUAUUAAAGUGUAACAACAAUAGCAAUGUGGAGAGAGAAGCAUCACAGCAGAGACUACAAAUUAAGAUACAUCAAAAUCAGUAGCACACAAUGAGAUUAUGAUUUUCUAUUUCAUUUUUCUUAAUCGCUACAGCACAAGAACGCCUUAUGAAGGCAAGUAUUUCCCAAACGGCACAUUCUGAUGUGGAGGAGUUUUUCCGCAGCAAAUUUUGGCCAGUACGAAAAACCGAAAAAAACGACACAAUAAAUUGACAACAGAAAAACUUCGAACAAUAAUGCUCAUUGCUAGGCAGGCAUGAAAUGUACGUUUACUUGGUGUAGAGCACGUCUUCCCACGGGUGGCGGUAGAGAGGCUGCUUCAGUCUCUUCUGGUCAAACGUGUGCC